rnacentral:rRNA from 1 species
AUUGAACGCUGGCGGCAUGCUUUACACAUGCAAGUCGAACGGCAGCACGGGUGCUUGCACCUGGUGGCGAGUGGCGAACGGGUGAGUAAUGCAUCGGAACGUGCCCAUGAGUGGGGGAUAGCCCGGCGAAAGCCGGAUUAAUACCGCAUACGCCCUUAGGGGGAAAGCGGGGAUCUUCGGACCUCGCGCUAUUGGAGCGGCCGAUGUCGGAUUAGCUAGUAGGUGAGGUAAAGGCUCACCUAGGCGACGAUCCGUAGCUGGUCUGAGAGGAUGAUCAGCCACACUGGGACUGAGACACGGCCCAGACUCCUACGGGAGGCAGCAGUGGGGAAUUUUGGACAAUGGGCGCAAGCCUGAUCCAGCCAUGCCGCGUGAGUGAAGAAGGCCUCGG